rnacentral:rRNA from 1 species
UACGUAGGGUGCGAGCGUUGUCCGGAAUUAUUGGGCGUAAAGAGCUCGUAGGCGGUCUGUCGCGUCGGUCGUGAAAACUUGGGGCUUAACCUUGAGCUUGCGGUCGAUACGGGCAUGACUGGAGUUCGGCAGGGGAGACUGGAAUUCCUGGUGUAGCGGUGAAAUGCGCAGAUAUCAGGAGGAACACCAGUAGCGAAGGCGGCUCGCUGGGCCAUUCCUGACGCUGAGACGCGAAAGCUAGGGGAGCGAAACAGG